rnacentral:lncRNA from 1 species
AUGAUGUCUUGCUGUUCAUCUGGUGACAGCUCAGAGGAGACAGACAUGAAGACAUGGAGGAGAGACGGAGGCCGACCUGCUGCACUGAGCAGUUCAUGGGGCACCUGCUCAGCCAGGUCGGGCAGGAGAUCCCGGGGAAGAGCCCGGAGAGCAAAAAAAAGUCCAGAGGGGACAGAGACAGACACAAACCAUGAGGGGUCGGGCAGGAGAUCCCGGGGAAGAGCCCGGAGAGCAAAAAAAAGUCCAGAGGGGACAGAGACAGACACAAACCAUGAGGGGUAAGUCUCUGAGCCUUCUACCGUCCUUUUAGUGGUGCUAACCAGACUGUCUCUGAAUGUUUCUACAGUCAGGAGGGGACUGAGACAGACACAAACCAUGAGGGGUAAGUCUCUGAGCCUUCUACCGUCCUUUUAGUGGUGCUGGACGCCGUGUUCCAUUUAGUUCCGUCUCUCUGUUGGGCUUGUC